rnacentral:lncRNA from 1 species
GUGCUGAAAAGCGUCCACAGCCACAAAAAGAAGAAGAUCUGAACGUCACCCACCUUCCAGCAGCCCAAGACCCUGCGGCUCCUGAGGCAGCCAAAAUAUCCUCGGAAGAGUGCGCCCAGGAGAAACAAGCUUGACCACUAUGCUAUCAUCAAAUUCCCACUGACCACUGAGCCAGCCAUGAAGAAAAUAGAGGACAACAACACUCUUGUGUUUAUUGUGGAUGUCAAGGCCAACAGCAUCAGAUCAAACAGGCUGUCAAGAAACUCUAUGACAUUGAUGUGGGCAAAGUCAAUACCCUGAUAAGGCCCGACGGAGAGAAGAAGGCGGAUGUUCGCUUGGCUCCUGAUUAUAAUGCCCUAGGUGUUGCCAACAAGAUUGGGAUCCUCUAA